UGCAGAGUGUGGCCACUGCUUCUCCCAUCCUCCUUUCCCAAGGACGGUGGGGAUUGCUAUAGGGCUGGUAGGUAGUUUACCGUCCCUUCUAUAGGCAUAGAUUUGGCACUGACAUCACAGCUUCAUAACCCCCACCACGGCCAGCUUCCCCUGCCUGUUAUCCUAGAUCCAGUCUGUUCUUGUUCAUUGAGAAUCCUGUGUUCCCACUUCAGUGACACCUGAAUUUUUUUUUAAUUGUCUUCAAGGAGGUGUUAUACUAUUCUAAUAUGUACAAGAGUAAAAAUAAGAUUGGCAGCUGCGGGGAGAUGCGUGCAAAAGAGCAUCAGUGAGAGACAUGCUCUUCCUGUGUCAUCCAGGCUGGAGUGCAGCGGUGCAAUCACGGCUCACUGCAGCCUUGAACUCCCAGGUUCAAGUGAUCCUCCCACCUUAGCCUCCUGUGUAGCUAGGACUACAGGCAUGCAUCACCAUGCCCCAUGCCACCACGGUUACCACACCUUGCUAAUUUUUGUAUUUUUUGUAGAGACGGGAUUUUGUUAGGCACACCCAGGCUGAUCUGGAACUCUUGGGCUGAAGCCCACAUCCUCUUAUAGUGCUGGGAUUACAGGUGUGACCCACUGUUCCUGACCACCUCUAUGAAUUCCUAAAUAUACUAUAUGAAUUACGCUAUUUUCCUUUGUCUGUAUUCACAAGUGACAUUCACCUGAUGAUUUACAUAUUUUAUUUUGCGUAUAUUUUCUUUUCUUUGUUCACAAAGAAUAUAGAAAUGACAAUACGUGUUAAGUAGGUCCCAUUUCUUCAUUCCAUUGUGUUUGAUGUUUUAGUAUCAUUGGUAACAUUGUUUUUUUGUCAGAACAUUCUUGACUAUACAAGAGUCGAUCAUUUAAAGCUACUUUCAUUAUAAUCUUCUAAAGUACUCUUAGGAGAUAAUCAGGAAAAAACAUACAGAUAAAUAUAUAGAUAUGUUGCGGGAAAUCAGGGAUUCUGAACAGAGGGACCUGCUGAAGCUGUGACAGAAUAACAUAAAUUGUGAAGAUUUCAUGGACAUUUAUUCAUUCCCCAAAUUAAUACUUUUAUAAUUUCUUAUACCUGUCUUUACUACAAUCUCUGAACAUAAAUUGUGAAGAUUCCAUGGACAUUUAUCACUUCCCCAAUCAAUACUCUUGUGAUUUCCUAUGUCUGUCUUUAAUCUAUUAAUCCCAUCAUCUUCAUAAGCUGAGGAUGUAUGUCGCCUCAGGACCCUGUGAUGAUUGUGUUAACUGCACAAAUUGUUCAUAAAGCAUGUGUGUUUAAACAAUAUGAAAUCUGGGCACCUUGAAAAAAGAACAGGAUAACAGCGAUGUUCAGGGAAAAAGGGAGAUAACCAUUGGGCCUGACUGCCUGAGGUGCCAGGUGGAACAGAGUCAUAUUUCUCUUCUUACAAAAGCGAAUAGGAGAAAUAUCGCUGAAUUCUUUUUCUCAGCAAGGAACAGCCCUGAGAAAGAAUGCAUUCCCAGAGGGAGGUCUCUAAAAUGGCCACUCUAGGAAUGUCUGUCUUAUACGGUUGUAAACAAGGGAUGAAACAAGCCCCAGUCUACCGUAGGGCCCCCAGGCCUAUAGGAUCAGGAAAUUCCUGCCUAGUAAAUUUUAGUCAGACCGGUUGUCUGCUCUCAAACCCUGUCACCUGAUAAGAUGUUAUCAAUGACAAUGCGUGCCCAGUGGGACAUGAAAGUUAAUUAGCAAUUUUAAUUUCAUCCUGGUCCCAUGAUCUCGCUCUGCCCCCAUUUGCCUUGUGAUAUUUUAUUGCCUUGUGAAGCAUACAACCUCUGUGACCCACACCCUAUUCAUACACUCCCUCCUUUUCAAAUCCAUAAUAAAAACUUGCUGGUUUUGUGGCUUGGGGGCAUCACGGAACCUGCUGACAUAUGAUGUCUCCCUUGGACACCCAGCUUUAAAAUUUCUCUGUUUUGUAUUCUUUCCCUUUAUUUCUCAGACCAACCGACACUCAGGGAAAAUAGAAAAGAACCCACGUUGAAAUAUCGGGGGCUGGUUCCCCCGAUAUAGAUAUAUUUUUAAAAUCGAAGAGACAUUAUAAUGUUAUUUUAUUGUAUCUCUUAUUGAAUGGGACUUUCCUUUCUUUCUUUCUUUCUUUCUCCCUCUCUCUGUCUCUACUUCUUCCUUCCUUCCUAGCUUCUUUCCUUCCUUGCUUCCUUUCUUUGUUUUCUUCCUUCUUUGGAUAUUGCUGUGAACACAGCGUAUAGACAAAGUAAAAUCCUCUCUGCUAAAAUCAUGUGUUUAUGCACAUAAUAGGCUAACACUAUGGAUAUGCAAUCUACCAUUUGAAAAUAGUUCAUUCCAGACUAAUCUCACUUUAUUCACGAUUGUUAUAUCUUGACAUAUGUCCCCCCAAAACUUCAUAUGUUGAAUUGUAUUCCAAAACGUCAGACUUUGACUGUCUUUGGACAUAGGACCUUUAAAGAGGUCAUUAAUUUAAAAUGUCUUUAGAAUAGACCCUAAUCCAGUAUGAUUUAUCAGAAAAGGCAAUUAGGAUACACAGUGGGUCAACCUAUGUGAGGACACAACUAGAAGGAGGCCAUCCUCAAGCCAAGGAAAGGGGCCACAGAAGAACUUAGCUUGCCAAUGCCAACACCUUGAUCUUAAACUUCCAGGCUUCCGUAAUUGUGAGGAAGUAUUUUUACGUUGUUUAAACUACCCAGUCUGUGUUAUUUUGUUACAGCAGACCUAGUAAACUAAAACAACAACUUAGAUGCUUGUGCGUUUAAAGGUUGUAACUUUAACAUGCUUUCUUUUUGUUCAUUCACUCUCAUGUAUGUGUCUGCAUUCUCUUAGGUUAACUUUUUCACAUGUAUGACUUUGAGUACAAUCUUAUUGCUGCUGAUGCCGACCAAACCUUAGCCUCUAAUAAUUUAGACUCAUAUAAAACUGAUUAAUGGAUAUAUAAUUUAUUGUUGCAUGGGUUUCACAAACUCAGGAUGUCCCAAAUGAAUUCUUCAUUUUUUCUACAAUUCUGUUCAUGUGCUCGCAUACUUUCUACAGCAGUAAGUGGUGGGAUAUUCUAGUAAGUAGACCAAAUAUGGGAAUCUAUAAUUUCUGUGGCAAGUGCAUAGUCUAUUAAUUACUAUAAUGUGAUCUUGUCCAGUUGCACAAGUCCCCCAAUUAUAAUUGUCUCCCAUUAUUUUAUAUUUAGUCUUGAAAUUUCACUUAUAAAUAAAAGAAUUAGUUUUUCAAAUUUAAUAUAAACAAGAAACCAAUACCAAACUAAACAAGCACAAAACAAAUAAAAACGAUUAUAAUAUUUAUUAGGAUUGCCUGGAAUGUAAACAUAAAUAUGAGUAUAGUUAAUAUCUAAAUGAUAUUGAGACUUCAUAGUAGCCAUGAAAUUUUUAUAUAUUUUAAAUUAUUCAGGUGUUAUUUUCUUUCAGUAUAGUUUUAUAAUUCUCUGGAUACCUUUCUUAAAUUUAUUAUUGAAUUUAUGCCUAUGCAUUUUAUAUUUUUAUUAAAAUUAUAAGUGACAUCCUCUAUUAAAGAAUAUUUUCUAAAUGACUAUUGCUGGUUUAUAUAAAUGUAAUUUAUUUUUGCAUUUAAUUUAUAUUUAAUGUAGGUAUUUUGAGUUUUCUUUGUAGGAGAUAAUAUAAACUGCCAAUAUUCAUGCUUUUUCUUAUUAAACACUUUAUACCCAUUAUUGAUUUUUCAUUAUGUACUCCACAAUAUCUUUUAUUACAAAGUUGUUGUUAUCUUUUCUAUUGUUCAGGUUUUAAUGAAAUUCUUAGUAUUUUACUGUGAUGUUUACUGAAGGUUUUUGUAAAUACCCUUCAUUACGUUAAGUAAGUUUUCUUCUUUGAUAUGUGGUAAGAAUUUUUAUUAUGAAAGCAUUUUAAUUUGUUCAAAGCUAUUUUCUGCUUCUAUCAACAUGACAUUAUGCUAUUACUUUUCCUUAAUUAUUAACAUGGUGAAUAUAUUUUAUUAAUUCUGUAAUAUCAAACUUUACAUCCUUAUAAGUAAUGUAAAACAGGAUGUUUGAUUUAUUGAUAUUAGGUUAACUGCUUUUUUUUAACCUGAUAAUUUAAGUACUUUUAAAAUCAUUUGUUAAACCUCAAGAGAAAUGUAUCAAGAUUUCAUUGUUCUCAUAGUUAUUUAAAGAUUAGUAGCCCUCUUAAGUUCUCUGGAAAAUUACUAUACAAUUCUAGUAUAUAUUUUUAAAACUGCUUCUCAUCUUGAAGCAAUAAAGCAUUUGAGAAAAACACUAGAAUCAAGUUCUAUCAUCUCCAAUUAGAAUCUUUGUAGUUUUAGGAACAAUUUUUCUGCCUCAGUUUUCUCAUCUACAAAAUAAGGAUAAAAUAUUACUUAUAUACAUUGUUGUUUUGAGAAUAAAAUAAUGUACUAUAAUAGUGUAUUUUAUAACUGUACAUAAAUAAAUGAAAUGCUAUUGUUACAUAUAAUUACUAUCUUGUGUAAUUAAGUUCUGGUGUAUUUCAG
rnacentral:lncRNA from 10 species